rnacentral:rRNA from 1 species
AACGUAGGACGCAAGGCGUUAUCCGGAGUUACUGGGCGUAAAGAGCGCGUAGGCGGCCCGGAAAGUGGGGUGUGAAAACCCGAGGCUCAACCUCGGGCGUGCAUUCCAAACUCCCGGGCUUGAGGCAGGUAGGGGAGAUCGGAAUUCCUGGUGUAGCGGUGAAAUGCGCAGAUAUCAGGAGGAACACCGGUGGCGAAGGCGGCAUCCUGGACCGGCAUUGACGCUGAUGAGCGAAAGCUAGGGGAGCAAACGGG